AUCCAGAAAAUAUAUAAAAAAACUCUUACAUCUCAACAGUAAAGAUAAACAAAUUGAAAAUGGACAAAGGAUAUGAACAUAAACAAAUUGAAAAUGGACAAAGGAUAUGAACAGAUAUUACUCCAAAAUAUAUAAAAAGUCAAUAAACACAUGGAAAGAGGCUCCACAUCAUCAGUCAUUAAGGAAAUGCAAAUCAAAACCUCAGUGAGACACUUCUUCACCCACACUAUGAUGACUAAAAUUUAAAAAGGGAGUAAUAAAUGUUGUCAAGAAUGAGGAGAAAAUGGAACCCUCAAACACAUGCUGGUGGAAAUGCAAAAUGUUGUAGCCACUUUGGAAAACAGCCUGGCAGCUCCUCAAAAGGUUAAGCAGAAUUACUGUAUGAUCCAGCAAUUCUAAUUCUUAGAUAUAAAAGUUCAUAUAUUGUAUUAUUCAAUUUUUAUGAAGUGUCCAGAAAAUCCAAAUUCAAGGAGACAGAAAGUAGAUUAAUGGCUGCCAGGGGUCAUAGGAAGGGGGCAUGAGGAGUGACUGGUAGUGGGUAUGGUGUUUCUUUUUGGAGUGAUGAAAGUGUUCUGGGAUUAUAUAGUGGUAAUAGUUGUACAACUCUGUAAAUAUACUAACACCAAUGAAUUGUACACUUUAGAAGAGUGAACUUUAUGGUAUGUAAGUUGAAUCUCAAUUUUUUAAAAAAGCCAAAUGGCUCACCUUAAAAAAUUGAUUUCCUCACUUCUGUUUCAGGCCACCCAAGAUAUUUCUAAAAAUAUAGAAAUGUUUACAAUGAUAUUUGACAUUUAUAAUCCUACAGCAACAAAUACUACAAUCAAAUUUCAUUUUAACCAAAUUAUUUGCAGAUAUCAGUUGAUAGUCCACGUUAUACCUAUACUUGCUUCUAAAUAACAAAGAUCUGAAAAUUCCGUCUACAGUCAUACCACCCUGAACGCGCCCCAUCUCAUCUGAAAAUUCCACUGAGUUCAUGAUUUAUCUCAUAGUCAUCUUUAAAAUUUAUAUUUUCUGAAGUAAUUGAAGCUAAAACAAAGUCUUCAUUUGAGAAAUUUUAGUAAUAUUGUCAUCUAGAAACAGGUAAAAG
rnacentral:lncRNA from 1 species